UUCACCUGGCUUUACCCCACCCACCCCCGCAGUCCUUCCAAAAAUUUGGGUGGCGCAGGACGCUUUUUGGAAAUCCAUUUUACCCGCGGCUAAUCCCCAACUCGACAUGCAACUGAAUUCCUGUUCUUUGAGAAUAGAUCUUAGACCUCCCCCGUAGACAGAGAUGAAAUAUUUCACAGGAUGACGGGGUGUCCAGAAAUAUUUGUGGCUGCCCCUCCUUUAUGAUUUCAUCAGUAUUUAUGAACAUGUCUCUUCCCCAAUUAAUUUUGGCCUUUGCAUUUGCUGCACCCGAAUCAUUUGCAGUAAUUGAUCAGCUUCACAAUCAGAUGCAGCUAUUACAGCAACACCACAGUCAGCUGCAGUCACGUGAUUGUGAUUUCCAAUGCUCUCUGCCAGCUUCCCACAAAGUCAGUGAAUUGGAAGACACUCUUGUUCCCACUGCUGUUCUGCCAACCCAUGGUUGUUUUAUAUUUAGGUAAGUAAAUAUUCAUAAAGGAUAAUCCAAAGGUUGUAGGUUGUCUAAUACACAUUAACAUGAAAAAUCACCUACAAUACUGAAUAGUAGGAACAAAGCAACUCUGGGAAAUAACAUUUUGAAUAGAACCAAAAUAUUUCAUCAAUUGAAUCAAUCAAUCAAUCUAUCUAUCUAUCUAUCCAUCCAUCUAUCUAUCUAUCAUUUACUACCUACCUACCUAUGUAUGAAUGCAGUGUUUGUCAUUACACAUGCACUACAUUUGGCUGAAUUUAUAGCUGAUUCCAAUGGCAAACCUGACAUCAAUUUUAAAGAAGGAAAACAAAG